CACAAAAGAAGUGUAAAUGGCCGGUCCUUGCCUUAACUGAUGACAUUACCUUGUGAAAGUCCUUUUCCUGGCUCAUCCUGGCUCAGAAAGCACCCCCACUGAGCACCUUGUGACCCCCACUCCUACCCACCAGAGAACAAACCCCCUUUGACUGUAAUUUUCCUUUACCUACCCAAAUCCUAUAAAACGGCCCCACCCUUAUCUCCCUUCGCUGACUCUCUUUUCGGACUCAGCCCGCCUGCACCCAGGUGAAAUAAACAGCCAUGUUGCUCACACAAAGCCUGUUUGGUG
rnacentral:lncRNA from 1 species